rnacentral:misc_RNA from 1 species
UACGUAGGGUCCGAGCGUUAUCCGGAAUCAUUGGGCGUAAAGCGCGCGCAGGCGGUUUCUUAAGUCUGAUGUGAAAGCCCACGGCUCAACCGUGGAGGGUCAUUGGAAACUGAGGAACUUGAGUACAGAAGAGGAGAGUGGAAUUCCACGUGUAGCGGUGAAAUGCGUAGAUAUGUGGAGGAACACCAGUGGCGAAGGCGACUCUCUGGUCUGUAACUGACGCUGAGGCGCGAAAGCGUGGGGAGCAAACAGG